UACGUAGGGGGCAAGCGUUGUCCGGAUUUAUUGGGCGUAAAGAGCUCGUAGGUGGUUCGGUAAGUCGGAUGUGAAAUCUCCAGGCUCAACCUGGAGGGGUCAUUCGAUACUGCCGUGACUAGAGGUCGGUAGGGGAGUGUGGAAUUCCUGGUGGAGCGGUGAAAUGCGCAGAUAUCAGGAGGAACACCCGUAGCGAAGGCGGCACUCUGGGCCGAUACUGACACUGAGGAGCGAAAGCGUGGGUAGCAAACAGG
rnacentral:rRNA from 1 species